UUGUGUGUCAUUCAUCUCAAGUAUUCUCUGAAAAUAGAAUGUGGUAAUUUCUCAUAUCAAAAUCUCUUAAAAUCUGUUUAGUUUUGAUUAUCGUAUUGAUUUUGAUUAUUCAAAUGAGUUAUUGCUCUAGAAUCAUAUAUAAUAACCACUUAUGUAUAUGUGUUUUUCCUGAUCAUUAUUGUUUGUAUUAUUGCAGCCCCUAUGCACGUUGAUGUUUGAUUUUUGAAGUAUAUAUACUUACACUUGAUGAAUAUGAACUUUAUUGUGGUAAGUGGUUAGGCCAUUGUUAGAAUUGUAUUAACGGUAAAAUUGUUUAACCACUUUGUAGUCGAGCUUUAUAGUUCUUGUUUUACAGGGUUUGAAGACUUUCAAGAGAUGCAGUUUUGAAGACAUAAUAUGUUCACGAGUUGGCUAUCAUUUUGCUAUGACUAUUGCUAGGACUAUUAGUGUUUUGCACUAAGCGAUUGUGUAAACAAUAUUAUGACAUAUGUAUCA
rnacentral:lncRNA from 1 species